AGCGGCGGAUGGGUGAGUAACACGUGGGGAACCUGCCCCUAAGUCUGGGAUACCAUUUGGAAACAGGUGCUAAUACCGGAUAAUAAAGCAGAUCGCAUGAUCAGCUUUUGAAAGGCGGCGUAAGCUGUCGCUAAGGGAUGGCCCCGCGGUGCAUUAGCUAGUUGGUAAGGUAACGGCUUACCAAGGCGACGAUGCAUAGCCGAGUUGAGAGACUGAUCGGCCACAUUGGGACUGAGACACGGCCCAAACUCCUACGGGAGGCAGCAGUAGGGAAUCUUCCACAAUGGACGCAAGUCUGAUGGAGCAACGCCGCGUGAGUGAAGAAGGUUUUCGGAUCGUAAAGCUCUGUUGUUGGUGAAGAAGGAUAGAGGUAGUAACUGGCCUUUAUUUGACGGUAAUCAACCAGAAAGUCACGGCUAACUACGUGCCAGCAGCCGCGGUAAUACGUAGGUGGCAAGCGUUGUCCGGAUUUAUUGGGCGUAAAGCGAGCGCAGGCGGAAAAAUAAGUCUAAUGUGAAAGCCCUCGGCUUAACCGAGGAACUGCAUCGGAAACUGUUUUUCUUGAGUGCAGAAGAGGAGAGUGGAACUCCAUGUGUAGCGGUGGAAUGCGUGGAUAUAUGGAAGAACACCAGUGGCGAAGGCGGCUCUCUGGUCUGCAACUGACGCUGAGGCUCGAAAGCAUGGGUAGCGAACAGGAUUAGAUACCCUGGUAGUCCAUGCCGUAAACGAUGAGUGCUAAGUGU
rnacentral:rRNA from 1 species